rnacentral:rRNA from 1 species
UGGGGAAUCUUGGACAAUGGGCGCAAGCCUGAUCCAGCCAUGCCGCGUGAGUGACGAAGGCCUUAGGGUUGUAAAGCUCUUUUAGCAGGGAAGAUAAUGACGGUACCUGCAGAAUAAGCCCCGGCUAACUUCGUGCCAGCAGCCGCGGUGAUACGAAGGGGGCUAGCGUUGUUCGGAAUUACUGGGCGUAAAGCGCACGUAGGCGGAUCAUUUAGUCAGGGGUGAAAUCCCGGGGCUCAACCUCGGAACUGCCUUUGAUACUGAUGGUCUCGAGUCCGGAAGAGGUGAGUGGAAUUCCUAGUGUAGAGGUGAAAUUCGUAGAUAUUAGGAAGAACACCAGUGGCGAAGGCGGCUCACUGGUCCGGUACUGACGCUGAGGUGCGAAAGCGUGGGGAGCAAA